rnacentral:tRNA from 1 species
GACGGCUGUGGACCACGGGCCGGACUUGUCGUCGUGGUUGAUGGCCGCACCUGGAACGAAUAGGUGGUGUUUGGUUCCAGUCCGACAACGGUCC